ensembl:lncRNA
AUCAUGGAAAAGUUUGGGACUUUAUUUUGCAGAGAAAAUAGCACUAGUGGCUUUCCAUCUGGCUUUGACUUAAUGACUAAAUUGCUUUCACUUUUCCCUACAUUUUACAUCUCUGAUCACCUCAAGAUGUGAACACCUUAAUUUCCCUCGUCACAUCUGUCUGCUCACUGAUGUGCCUGUUUUCCCCUUUGUCAGCAGUCAGCUACCAGAUGAAGUUCAGAUAAAUGGCCUCCAGCUUACCUUGCAGUUGUUUUGCAACGGGUCUUCACGGAAGACUACUGCAGACCCCUGAUAGGAAGGGGCCUGACUGUCUACAGCUCAUUGAAUGCAUAUGGAUCCCAGCAGCUGGAAGGAUGCAUUUGCUACCUGAGGCCAGCAAUUGUGUCGCCAAGCGUGACUCCGCGUGCUGACCCUUGUAUAACACAUUACAGCCGAGGAGAUGUUGAUUGCUCCUUUCCAUCUUGUGAUGGAUGCUGGUGUUUAAAACUAAUGUUCUUGUGAACCACUGCAAGAGGAUAUGGAGGAGAGCUUUUCUGCAGAGAAGGAGGAGAAAAAGGUGGAGGAAUCCCUCACUUCAAGGAUCAAACUCCAGACCUUGCGCUUGCAGGGCAGGCGGCGGCACCAAUGAACUAAAUCCCUGGCCCCUCUUUUCUAUUAAUUUAUUCCUUAAGAAUCUAAAAAGAAACUUCUUAUGGAAGAAAAAUAUUGACCAUAAUACAUAAUCAGAAUGUCAGGGAAGAAUUCCAACCUUCACAUGAAAGUUCAGUAUUCUACCUUUGUCAACAUCAAGGCUUACCCCCAAAAUAAGCCCCAGUUAAGAUCCUCAGCCAGAGAGAUGCAUUUAGUAUGUCCAUCGCAACACACGAUGGAUGUACUGAAUUACAAUGAUGUUCCAGAAGAAGAC